AUGGCAUGGUCUUUCUCUCUUUCUGCCUUGAUGACACAAAGAGACCGGAUGGGUGGUCAGCGGCACAGAAAUUGUGAAUUGAACAAUUUUAUUUUCAACUCAUUUCUAUCACUGGAGGUUGCAACUAGGAAAAAAUGCACCUAUUUCCAUAAUGGCACAUUACCUAGCAGUUCACUGUAUGGCAUUUAUAAUACUGUUUUGAAGAAAAAGUUUAUUGAGAAAAUUUCAGGAUUUCAAAUGGGAGAAAAUGCUGAAUGCAUAUUUCUCAUCUUUGAAAUAAUGGAGGUGUAUAAAAAUGGAAGUGCAAAGAAAAAUUUGAAUAAGCUUCAAUUCCUAGGGUGUCUACUGCAUGCUCUUUUGUCAGAAAAAAUACUAUGUAUUUUAUAUCAAUGUAGACGAAAGUACAGCAAGACAGAGAAGAAAAGGCAUAAUGCUACAAUGUGUAAGGUAAGAAGUCAAGGAAAAAAACGUAACAUAGAAACUAUUAGAAAACAACACAGAAAAAUACAUUACUUUCUGAGGAUUCAUUUCAGAGAAGUUGGAGCCCAAGUUAAAGCUUGGCAUCUAAAGGGAAAAUCUGAAAGCAUCAAAUCAAGUAGAGGCCCUGAUCCAGACAAGUUCCUUAUUAAGUUAUAUAAAGCACUGAAAGAUAAGUUUCUCCCCAAAUUAACUGAACUUAGAUGUUAUUUCUUGGACUUCAAACCCUUAGCAGAUACUCAUGAGGAAGCUGAUAAUGUUGUUUUAAAGGCUAAGAAAGAUGAAAGUGUUUUUUCAUCACAUAUGGACAUACCAGUGUUAAAUGCAGAGCUUAGAUGUGCAGCAAUAAUGACAGCUACAUUAGAAUCCGUGUUCCCUAAAAUACUUCGCAUAGCCUCAGUGGAAAUUAGUCACAGAAGACAGCUGUUAAAUAAUUUCCAUGUGUUAUUGAUCACGAGACAUUCAGACUUAGUAAACUUCAGCGUGCUAUUUUCAUUGAAAGAAGAAAAGGCUUAUGGUCGUCUUAAAUGGAAAUUCAGGAAGGAAAUAUUAAUAGAAGAUGUGAAAAAUAAAUGGACUCAAGCUGUACACUAUAACCUCCUACAACCCUCUCAGCUUUCCAGACAAACACGGAAUAGUUACUCAGUAUUACCAAUCAUGUUUGCAUUAUCCAGGAAACAAUUUGUACAAGUGAGAAUGAAUAAAACAAAACCAUGUUUAAAUGCAAACAGGUCAAUUUAUGAAACAAUGUUAUCUUUGAACGAAAUCCUAUUAGCGAUUCAGGUUCCUUCUAAUCCACUGCAAAAGAGAACAUUCCAGUUUCAAAAAUUAUUUAUUUCAAUUCGCAAGCUCGGGGAAUUUGUCUUUCAGGUCAAAAGGAGAAUUGGCUGCAAAUUCAUUUUAAGCUGGCCAAAUGCCACAGGAAGUGCAGGGUAG
rnacentral:lncRNA from 1 species